GUGGGAAUGGAGAGGGGGCUGAAGGCGGGGGCGGUGGGGGGAGCUCUGGUCAGGGAUCUCGGUUUCCAGCGUGAGGGCCAGGGUCUCCCGUGUGGGCUCUGGGCAUGGUGAGGAAGCGCACCUUGUCGUCCAAGCGGGAUCCGAGUGCAGCAGUGUCAGCCUCACCGGGGAGUGACCUCAAAAAGCAGACUGUCACCUCCCUAGUCCCCCAAGACCUCUUCUCCUGAGCCUCCAAUGGAGGAAGCGCCCCAGGGAAUUAGGUGCAAGGGCCUGAGAAGGACGCACCAAGUAGAGGCUGCGGAGCAGCCUGGCAGGAGGGAAGGAAGGGCAGGUGGGUGUGGGGGUGCCAGGUGGAAGGCGUAGAGGGCAGGAUGUCCUUGGACGUCGCAGAGCCCAAGGAGGUGAGGACAGGGCUGAGGGCGGGGACCUGUAACCCUAGAUGACCGAGGCAGACUUUGGGGGCGGGGUGCCUCUCGAAGGCUCAGAGCUCUUUGCCAGGUCGGACGUCUUUCACCCCUCAGAGGAACAGCACAGUCUAAGGAGCUGUUUCAAUUGUUCAGUCCCCGUGCCUGUUGAUUACUUGGUUUUGCCACAAGGCUCGGUUGGGUGUUGGCAUUCCAAACUUCUGCCUUCAAAGGAACAGGCCCAGAUCAGUCGGGGUCGGAGGACUUUUCGCCAGCGGGGGCUCGCAGCGCAGCCACCUGAGAAGACGUGGACAUUUGAAGAAGGGCUGGAUCUGGGCCUCCGGGGUGUCAGUGACCAAGCAGAUGACAUCAGAAAGCCUCUGGAAGGUUUCCUGUGCCCUCUCAUUUCCGGCUUUCUCUUCCCGGCUACCAUUUGUUCUCUGGUCCAAUUCCUACCCCACUCCUCGGGUCAGAUACUGCCCCUCAGACCACCCACCAUGAGACUCAGCCUCCCUGGAGAGUGGCCUACUGAGGCAGCAGGUUCUCCCAGGCCCUCAGGACUCUGAGCUGCACUUGUAGCCUCUGGGCCUCCCCUCCCCCCUUCCCUGAACCACAUCCAGACUCAAGCCCCUGGGCAGGCC
rnacentral:lncRNA from 1 species